rnacentral:rRNA from 2 species
GGCGGCGUGCCUAAUACAUGCAAGUCGAACGAGUUCUGAUUAUUGAAAGGUGCUUGCAUCUUGAUUUAAUUUUGAACGAGUGGCGGACGGGUGAGUAACACGUGGGUAACCUGCCCUUAAGUGGGGGAUAACAUUUGGAAACAGAUGCUAAUACCGCAUAAAUCCAAGAACCGCAUGGUUCUUGGCUGAAAGAUGGCGUAAGCUAUCGCUUUUGGAUGGACCCGCGGCGUAUUAGCUAGUUGGUGAGGUAACGGCUCACCAAGGCAAUGAUACGUAGCCGAACUGAGAGGUUGAUCGGCCACAUUGGGACUGAGACACGGCCCAAACUCCUACGGGAGGCAGCAGUAGGGAAUCUUCCACAAUGGACGCAAGUCUGAUGGAGCAACGCCGCGUGAGUGAAGAAGGCUUUCGGGUCGUAAAACUCUGUUGUUGGAGAAGAAUGGUCGGCAGAGUAACUGUUGUCGGCGUGACGGUAUCCAACCAGAAAGCCACGGCUAACUACGUGCCAGCAGCCGCGGUAAUACGUAGGUGGCAAGCGU